CUGACCAAAUGCUACGCACUUUCAGACCCGUCCUUGAAGCCGCUGAUCCAUGUAGUGACUGAUUCAUACGAAACGGAUUCAGAGGACAAAUGAGGAAGGCCGAAAACAUUUUGUUGGAGUAGGAACUGCAGACUGGGCAUGUGGAUAAGAAAUUUCUAUGCAAGAUGAGCUAACAGUUAUUGAGUGUGCUAUGUGCAGGGACUGCUGCUAGUCGGUAGAUGUGUAUAAUGCUUGCUUAUUUUGCAAUGAAAAUGAAUCUGUAUAAGUGGUCUUCUCCUAUCUUCCGUUUGUUCAAGGAGCUCCAAAGGAUUUAAUUAAUCUAGCCGACGACAACUGCUUUUAAGGUAUCGACGAUCAUUUGGAUACAGUUCUGCUCUAAGUGGACACUAAGUUCUGAUCAACAAUGAGGCUAUUUAGGUUUAUCGUGCAACCUAACGACAUAAAUGUCCUAGCUCUCAUAAUGCCCUGACUUUUCCAACGAAAUCCGUUUCCAGGUAUCUAUGUAAGUAAGAGUAUGAAAAAAGUAAGUUUCUCGUUCGGGCAGUUGUGCUUUUCGACGAUUAUUAUUCUGGCACCAGGUACCGAACACGGCUUAACUGGCCCGUAUUCUGUGUGCUGUCUAAAAGGAAUCCCAUCCAUCCAAUGAGUUGCUGAGGGGCUAAUUAUAGAAUAGGGUAGUUGGAACUUCCCGACUGCUGUAUUGGACCCUUUAGCAUUUGAGUUCAGUGAAGUUACAUUGAUUGCUACACCUUCUCGAAAUCGAUCUACUUAUGGAUGUAGUCAUUGAAAACGGGCAUGGUUAAACUUUAUUUUGUCAAGUUAAAUAGGUUUCCAUUGUGACAUGUCGAUUUAGUUAAUUGCUAGACAAGGGGGUCACAUGUUCGAGCCAAAGUAGGCAUCUGCGUCUGGGCUUGAACUGCCAGUUGCAAUGAAGGUUCAAGAUUUAAAUACUGUUUUGGUUAAUUGUGUUAAAGUAGUACGUUAUGAAGGACUAGGCGCCAAUACACGUACGUAGCAUAGCACUUUUCUCAGUAUCAACAAUUAUGAUCAGUAUAAACUAGCUCGAUUACGAUAUUCAUUGAGUGCCCACCGAAUCAAUGUCUGCAGUGACCGAACGUUUCUUUUGACACGAGACUAUCCACAAAGGACAACCAUACCGCUCCCCGUCAAAGAUUCGCGCAAACCUGUUACAUAUAUCAGUAAGUGCAGCUUUUCCGAUUACUGAAAUCCAUUUGUCCACUUUUUACUCUUUUUACUAGCAGUUGCAGUCGCAGUCGCAGUCAAGCUUGAGGAUAGGCUACAUGAGGCAAAUGCAUGCACACGACACUCAUACAAAAAGAUCAUGUAGCAACUUUUUCCUAACGUUAAUCAUUUGUAUGCUAACGUUUCCACAGGUGACCCUUUUACCCCCUUUCAGCUCAAACGAGAAACUCAUCCAACGCAUUACUAACGGUACAGUGAUGUGUGUACUCAUAGACUUGGUCACAGGUUGACAGACCUUUCCUGAGACGCGACUACGUCCGGAUUGCAUUUGGAACUUUUCGUCGGUACCAAUAUUAUAUCGGUAUACGACCACUGCGACAGAGCCGCUAAACGAGAAAACACAGUAUGGAAAUUUUCGCAUCAAAUAUUCGCUCGUCUGUUUUUUGUGUUUAUUAAUUCCUCCCAUAGAACCGUUCGACGCCGUUCGUAUAAGUGAUGGUAGCAGUCGGUCGUACAAUAGAGGCGCUUUGUCUGGUACGUGCUCGUGCGGUGUAUGGUGCCGCGCGAACUGGUACGACGGUUUUCUUACAUAGUUUUUUCUGAGAAAGUUUCCUCUUGUCGCAAUACCAUUCUGCAGCUCGCGCUGCACAAAGACAAAAAACAUCAGAAGCCAUUGCCUCUCUCUCUACCGAAAUGUUGCUAUGGUAGCAUUGAAAGAGCUGUUUUUGCGCCGUCUGCAUUGCGUGCUACAUGCUGAAGGUCACUUAGAUGGUGAGCUCGUUUUGUCUCAAAGUUGUGCUGAUUUUUUCGAUGGACGAGCGAGCGUACGGACGUGCGUAAGAAGCGUUAGAGAAGGGAGCCUUUAAAAAUUGUAGCACGAAAUGAAAGAAACGCAAAUGAAGGACAGAGAGGCCAGCGAAAACUGUCGAGCAAUUCACUCAGAGAAAAACUGCUACAUAUUAUUAAUAAAUAUUUGACAAUUUUCGAAUGUAAUUUAUGGUGAUAUCCAUAAAGUUUCAGUUUUAUUUGCUACUGUUUGAGAAUAUCAUAAAUGAGCACGACUUAAUAGCAACAAAAUCGUCUGAACUAGCCUCUCUGGCGGAUCGUGUAUUGCUUUCAGUAGGUUUUCACAUGGAAAUAGAAAACUAUGUUCAUUCAUUAUAGAAUCAGGUUAACAUUAAUAAUAUAUGAUCGUAUGUAAGACAGCAUAUAAGUUUACAGACGUGAUGUCAAAUUUAGGGUUACAAAAAAACAGCUUCCGAAGGAUUUUUAGCCGGAAGAGAAAGCGGUAUUGUUUUUAAAGGUCUCUACGCCAUCUGUGGUUGAUAGCGUCAGGUCGGAUCUACAAGGUCGGAAAAUAACUUCUCGGAUCAACUUUCGGUAAACUUUGACCCUGUCUAGAGCUGGGCGCUAGGACUCCCUAUGGACUGCAAAAUUGUUACUGUGUGCAAAUCCAUGCGGUGAGCCUAGCUCUGCCUUUUUUUGAUUGCUUUUUUCACUUUUUGAUUAUGGAAACUUUUGAUUGUGGAAAAAGAAGCAUGCCUUAAUUAUUAGCGUAGAGAGGCGCAUAAACCAGCUGCGAAAGCUAAGAUAUCGUCGUAGUCUUUCGCGUUGCUUUCUCUAUUUAUUUAACAUUUAAAGUUUGGAAAGGAUCGUUCAGUAUACAUUGGGUAUCGUUGAAAACUUGCUUACAAGAUGUGUCGCACAUCGACCGCUCUUAAUAGACCAAGACCUAUAAAUGCUCGUAGGAAAAGUGACUCUACGAUUGAUGAAACAUCUACACUAUUAGCAUUGACUAACUGUUACUAUGCGAUAUAUACAGUAACACGAUAGCAUAAAGUCUAGCUGGUAAAAAAAAAUGGCUUUUCAGUUUGACAGAUUUUGAAUACUAGAGACCUAAACCUGUGUUGUGUUCAUUGUAACUGCUACCGUAUGAUCCUAUUGGAUGUGUAGUUUGACCUGGCUCCAAUUAAAGAUGUCAUUUAUUCUAAGUUGCUGCGAAGAUUUUUUUAUUGUAGCUGCCUGUCCUCAAAUUUAUUUCUGCUCAGGUUUGAAGAUAACUACUGAAAAGGAGACUGCGGCAAACCUUCAGGAGCUGACGAAAACAGACUGUUUCAUAUACCCAGCGACUUGAUGUAUCAGCGAGUACGUUAGUCCUCUGGACGCUGAGUGUGUGAUCUGCCUCUGCCGGGUCGGUGUCCACGGUGUCAAACCGCGACAAAGGACUCGCGUCGUCCGAGUAUUCGGACCCGUUUACAGACCAAACGGAAAGAGUGAAACUAUCUUUUGAGUAUCAGGUCGUCCUUUAUGGAAGAGCGUGCUGAAAAAGCAUAACGAAAAAUAGCCCGUUGCUAUAGAAUAGCCAAGAAGCGUAAAUGAAGCCUGCUCACGCAAAAUGCAUAUAGAGGGCGUUGCUAUUAUGGGCGACAGAAAUAUCUUGUUGUAUUUAGAAUAACCGUUGUACAGGGAACAAUUGGGAGCUCUCAAAUUUAUAUCUUCAUUGUGAGGGAGAUAAAUUACGGUUAUAGCUUUUUU